rfam:Lachnobacterium bovis DSM 14045 genome assembly, contig: IE72DRAFT_scaffold00026.26
UAAAAUGAGAGUUUGAUCCUGGCUCAGGAUGAACGCUGGCGGCGUGCUUAACACAUGCAAGUCGAACGAAGCGCAUUGUUUGAAUUCUUCGGAAGGAAGAUAAUGUGACUGAGUGGCGGACGGGUG